CACGUAGGGCGCGAGCGUUGUCCGGAAUUAUUGGGCGUAAAGAGCUCGUAGGCGGCCUGUUGCGUCCGCUGUGAAAGCCCCGGGGCUUAACCCCGGGUCGGCAGUGGAUACGGGGCAGGCUAGAGGUAGGUAGGGGAGAAUGGAAUUCCCGGUGUAGCGGUGAAAUGCGCAGAUAUCGGGAGGAACACCGGUGGCGAAGGCGGUUCUCUGGGCCUUACCUGACGCUGAGGAGCGAAAGCGUGGGGAGCGAACAGGAUUGAGAA
rnacentral:rRNA from 1 species